rnacentral:rRNA from 1 species
AUUGAACGCCGGCGGCAUGCCUAACACAUGCAAGUCGAACGGCAGCACGGUACAAUUUCGGUUGUAUGGGUGGCGAGUGGCGAACGGGUGAGUAAUACGCAGGGAUAUACCCUUUGGAGUGGGACAACUUGUGGAAACGCAAGCUAAUACCGCAUGUAUUCUGAGGAAUAAAGCUGGGGACCAUUUGGCCUGGCGCCAAAGGAAUAACCUGCGUCCGAUUAGCUAGUUGGUGGGGUAAGGGCCUACCAAGGCGAUGAUCGGUAGCUGAUCUGAGAGGAUGGACAGCCACACUGGGAAUGAGACACGGCCCAGACUCCUACGGGAGGCAGCAGUGGGGAAUAUUGGACAAUGGGGGCAACCCUGAUCCAGCAAUGCCGCGUGUGUGAAGAAGGCCUGAGGGUUGUAAAGCACUAUCAGUGGGGAGGAGAGUUUGCAGGUUAAGAGCUGGUAAAUGAGACGUUACCCACAGAAGAAGCACCGGCUAACUCCGUGCCAGCCGCCGCGGUAAAAC